GCUCAGGAUGAACGCUGGCGGCGUGCCUAAUACAUGCAAGUCGAGCGAACAGAUGAGAAGCUUGCUUCUCUGAUGUUAGCGGCGGACGGGUGAGUAACACGUGGGUAACCUACCUAUAAGACUGGGAUAACUCCGGGAAACCGGGGCUAAUACCGGAUAAUAUUUUGAACCGCAUGGUUCAAUAGUGAAAGACGGUUUCGGCUGUCACUUAUAGAUGGACCCGCGCCGUAUUAGCUAGUUGGUAAGGUAACGGCUUACCAAGGCGACGAUACGUAGCCGACCUGAGAGGGUGAUCGGCCACACUGGAACUGAGACACGGUCCAGACUCCUACGGGAGGCAGCAGUAGGGAAUCUUCCGCAAUGGGCGAAAGCCUGACGGAGCAACGCCGCGUGAGUGAUGAAGGUCUUCGGAUCGUAAAACUCUGUUGUUAGGGAAGAACAAAUUUGUUAGUAACUGAACAAGUCUGACGGUACCUAACCA
rnacentral:rRNA from 1 species